GGGUCGACUGUUCCCAGGGCGACUGUGCCACGGUGAGAUCAGGGUGACUGUUCCCAGGGCGACUGUGCCGCGGUGAGAUCAGGGCGACUGUGCCGCGGUGAGAUCAGGGCGACUGUGCCGCGGUGAGAUCAGGGCGACUGUGCCGCGGUGAGAUCAGGGCGACUGUGCCGCGGUGAGAUCAGGGCGACUGUUCCCAGGGCGACUGUGCCGCGGUGAGAUCAGGGCGACUGUGCCGCGGUGAGAUCAGGGCGACUGUGCCGCGGUGAGAUCAGGGCGACUGUUCCCAGGGCGACUGUGCCACGGUGAGAUCAGGGCGACUGUUCCCAGGGCGACUGUGCCGCGGUGAAAUCAGGGUGACUGUUUGACAGCCGUGUUUUGUUCAGAUCUGGGCCGCAGGUUCAGUGGCGGAGCAGGUUCCCAAAGGGGGCCUGGUGUUCAGGAGCCAGGAGACCUGGGGCCCGUUCGGAGAGGCACGCAUCUCGCUGCUCAACCCACAGAACGAGGAGACGGCAGAGUUUUGUCUGGUGUGUGUUCAGGGUAAAGCUGACGAGGAUCUGGAGUGUGAGGAGAACAUCAUGAGCCGGGAUGUUCACCUGCACCGACAGCCCAAGAGAAGGAAAAAGAAAUGUUGUUGUCUGUCGUGACGGGCUGCAGGCUCAGAGACACAGUCAGGACGCCAGCUGUGCCGUCAUGUGACGCUCGGAGUUUUACACGAAGGAAUGUUUGUUUGUUCUUUGCUCGAGUAAUAAAGUUUGAAUAACUGCUAGGUUCUAAUGAAUUUAAAUUAAAAUAAAUGCUUUUUGCAAAAUCUU